AUGAGCAGGCUCCAACACAGCUGUUACAGCUCCCUACCGCGCCGUUGUCUCCGCUGCUUGUACCUCCUGCGGGUCCCGCGCGGCUCGGGGGCCGGACGCCCGCUCGGCCGUGUCUGCCGGCGGGCGCUGGGCAGACGAGGGGGCCGCCCCGCGCCGCCUCCCUGCGGCCAGCCUCGCCUCGGCGCUGUGGGCGACAGCCCGCGGCGGCUGCUCCCGCUCCGCCUCGGCCUCACGGCACCCCGGGCGGGCGGCACCGGCACCAGCGGCCCGCUGAGGAGCGGCGGGGGGCCUGGGCCUGGGCCGGCGCCUCCCGGGACGCGGUUCAAACCUGCUCCUGGCAACCGCCGCCGCAGGGGCCGCCGGGAAGCGGCGAGGCGGCCGCGGCGCCGCGGAACUACGGUGCCCGGGCGGAGCCCGCCCCUUCCCGCCGCCGCCGCCGCCAUGGGCUGGGAGGAGAAGCAGGUCCGCGGGUACCCCGAAUUCGUGCAGACGGCGCAGCGCUACCAUGGCCGGCCCAUCUUCGCGCUCUUCUGCGGCGACAAGGAUGCCGCGGGCAGGAGCUGGUGCCCGGACUGCGUGACCGCUGAACCAGUUGUGAGGAAGGAACUUCACAACAUGCCUGAUGAGUCCGUAUUUAUCUACUGCCUAGUAGGAGACAGAGCCUAGAAUUUUAACAGGCUAACUUCAAACCGCACCCCUAGGACCUGUACUAAACUCCUUCCUCCUGAACAGCUGGAAAGAUCCCAACAAUGAAUUCAGGAAGAACCUGAAAUUAACAGGAGUGCCUACACUACUUAAAUAUGGAACACCUCAGAAGCUGGUUGAAGAAGAAUGUUUCAAAGCAGAGCUGGUGCGCAUGUUGUUUACUGAAGACUAAAUCCUCCAGCAGUCAAUCAUUUACGAAGACCUUAAACUCAAGUAAUUUGCAAUGUCCUUUCAAGGAAUCCUAAACCUUUUAAAAACUUUAAUGGUUAAUUACUUCAGACUAGUCAAGAUGUUAUUAAAUUCUAGGUCCAAACCUUCCAGUAAAAUCCUCCAACAAAAAAAACGGUAUCUUUCCUUCCAUGUUCAAAUAAACUUAACUUUGCAAACA